rnacentral:rRNA from 1 species
GACGAACGCUGGCGGCGUGCUUAACACAUGCAAGUCGAACGGAAAGGCCCUGCUUUUGUGGGGUGCUCGAUUGGCGAACGGGUGAGUAACACGCGAGUAACCUGCCCUUGACUUUGGGAUAACUUCAGGAAACUGGGGCUAAUACCGGAUAGGAUCUCUUGCUGCAUGGUGGUGGUUGGAAAGUUUCGGCUGUUGGGGAUGGACUCGCGGCUUAUCGGCUUGUUGGUCGGGUAGUUGCUUACCAAGGCUUUGACGGGUAGCCGGCAUGGGAGGGUGGCCGGGGACAAGGGGACUACGGGACGCACCAGACGCGAACGGGCGGCAGUAGUCGAGAGCAUUACAGAAUGGGGCCGCGUGUGAGACGAAGGUCUCGGGUGCGGAAUGACGGCCUUCGGGGUGAGAACAGCUUUGGCAGGUGACGAAGCGGGAGUGACGGUACUGAGUAAAGAAGCAACGGCUAACUACGUG